AUGGGAUCAGAAAAAAGAAUGAUGGGACCUCUAAUAAUUAUUCUACUGCUGGCAGAUGGAGUGAUGUCAGCAGAAAAUACAACUGCUGCACUUAAUGCUACAGUGACCGCAACUGCGGUCAACAUGACCUCACCAGGCGUUAACAUGACCACAAUGUCCACCAUGUCACCAUCAGAAAAUACCACCUCUCCACUAGUGAAUGGAACAUCACCAAACAUCACAACUGGUUCUCUAGCGACAACCACAGCUGCUCCAGCACCAGACUCAGCGAUACAGCUGAGAUUUAGCCUGAUCGAAACUUUUCAACCAGAACUUGCCGAUACAACUACUCAAAAGUUCAAAGAUUUAGCAAACAGAGUAACAGCCGCACUUGAUAACAUCUAUAGAUCCAGAUUUGGGAGAAGAUUCCUUCGAUCUUUGAUACGCGCUUUCAGACAAGGUUCAGUGGUGGUAGACUCUGAGCUGAUUUUUGCCAAUGCCACCUCAGUGCCUGAAGUUAGUGCUGUGCAAACCUCUCUGGCGGAGGCAGCGUCCAAUAGCUCUAACUUCUCGCUGCCAGUGAAUGUGUCAACCAUUGUUGCAACUGUACCUACAUCUGUCAAUAUAACAGCGGCCCCAACUGGUGUCACCAAUGCCACAGCGGCCCCAACUGCAGCUCCUGUUGCUACAGAGGCCCCUGCAUCCACUGAUCCCCCAACAUCCAGUGAGGGAACCCUUCGCCUUCUGUUCAGUCUCAACCGAACAUUCACAUCCGACCUGUCAAACCGAUCCUCAGCAGCGUUUAAGACGUUGGCUGCUGAAGUCAUCCAAGAGAUUAACCGAGUGGCCAGGAUUAUCUAUGCAUCGUCUUUCAGACGCACCCUCAUUAACAAUUUCACGAGUGGAUCAGUAAAGGUUGACACCACACUUGUGUUCCAAGAUAAGAGCUCAGUUCCUCAAGCAAGCACUGCGACUGCACAAUUCAUCAGUUUGCUCUCCAAUUCUUCCCUCGGCAUCGUACCCGGCAGCAUUUCUGCACAGUCCACAUCAACUUCAGGCAGCCCCCCCCCAUGGCCACAAUGGGCUCACUGGCAGUCUUUUCACUUACACUGCUGGCUGUAGCACAGAUGCUAGUCACCCUGUAACAGACACUGAAG
ensembl:lncRNA